rnacentral:rRNA from 1 species
GCAACCGAGUGGCGUUUCUAUACAUGCAGUCGAGCGAACAGACGAGGAGCUUGCUCCUCUGACGUUAGCGGCGGACGUUGUGAGUAACACGUGGGUAACCUACCUAUAAGACUGGGAUAACUCCGGGAAACCGGGGCUAAUACCGGAUAACACAUGAAACCGCAUGGUUUCAUGAUGAAAGACGGUUUUGCUGUCACUUAUAGAUGGACCCGCGGCGUAUUAGCUAGUUGGUAAGGUAACGGCUUACCAAGGCAACGAUACGUAGCCGACCUGAGAGGGUGAUCGGCCACACUGGAACUGAGACACGGUCCAGACUCCUACGGGAGGCAGCAGUAGGGAAUCUUCCGCAAUGGGCGAAAGCCUGACGGAGCAACGCCGCGUGAGUGAUGAAGGUCUUCGGAUCGUAAAACUCUGUUAUUAGGGAAGAACAAGGGUGUAAGUAACUAUGCAUCCCUUGACGGUACCUAAUCAGAAAGCCACGGCUAACUACGUGCCAGCAGCCGCGGUAAUACGUAGGUGGCAAGCGUUAUCCGGAAUUAUUGGGCGUAAAGCGCGCGUAGGCGGUUUUUUAAGUCUGAUGUGAAAGCCCACGGCUCAACCGUGGAGGGUCAUUGGAAACUGGAAAACUUGAGUGCAGAAGAGGAAAGUGGAAUUCCAUGUGUAGCGGUGAAAUGCGCAGAGAUAUGGAGGAACACCAGUGGCGAAGGCGACUUUCUGGUCUGCAACUGACGCUGAUGUGCGAAAGCGUGGGGAUCAAACAGGAUUAGAUACCCUGGUAGUCCACGCCGUAAACGAUGAGUGCUAAGUGUUACGGGGUUUCCGCCCCUUAGUGCUGCAGCUAACGCAUUAAGCACUCCGCCCUGGGGAGUACGGCCGCAGGCUGAAACUCAAAGGAAUUGACGGGACCCGCACAAGCGGUUGAGCAUGUGGUUUUAUUCGAAGCAUCGCGAAGAACCUUACAAAUCUUGACGAUCUUUUGACAACUUCUAGAGAUAGAGCCUUCCCUUCGGGGACAAGUGACCAGUGUGCAUGGCUUGUCGUCAGCUCUGUCGUGAAUGUUGGAUUAAGUCCGCAUCGAAGCUCACCUUAGCUUACUGCAGCAAUAGUUGUGCUAAUUGACUGCCGGUGACAACCGUAGAAUGGAG